rnacentral:rRNA from 1 species
AAACUUUCAACAACGGAUCUCUUGGUUCUGGCAUCGAUGAAGAACGCAGCGAAAUGCGAUAAGUAGUGUGAAUUGCAGAAUUCAGUGAAUCAUCGAAUCUUUGAACGCACAUUGCGCCCCCCGGUAUCCCGGGGGGCAUGCCUGUUCGAGCGUCAUU